rnacentral:rRNA from 3 species
CCUACGGGAGGCAGCAGUGGGGAAUAUUGCACAAUGGGCGCAAGCCUGAUGCAGCCAUGCCGCGUGUAUGAAGAAGGCCUUCGGGUUGUAAAGUACUUUCAGCGGGGAGGAAGGUGUUGUGGUUAAUAACCACAGCAAUUGACGUUACCCGCAGAAGAAGCACCGGCUAACUCCGUGCCAGCAGCCGCGGUAAUA